rnacentral:rRNA from 1 species
GAUGAACGCUAGGCGGGGAGGCUUAAAUACAUGCAAGUCGAGCCGGUAAGGUUUUCGGACCCUAGAGCGGCGAACGGGUGAGUAACGCGUACGAAACCUACCUUUAAGAGAGGAAUAGCCCCUGGGGAAACUCGGGAGUAAUGCCUCAUAGUAUUCAUUUACCGCAUGGUUUAUGGAUUAAAGCUACGGGCGCUUAAAAGAUGGUCGUGGCGUCUGAUUAGCUAGUUGGUAGGGUAACGGCCUACCAAGGCUACGAUCAGUAGGGGGGCUGAGAGCGUGGCCCCCCCCAANACGGGGUACUGAGACAC